rnacentral:rRNA from 1 species
UACGUAGGGGGCAAGCGUUGUCCGGAAUUAUUGGGCGUAAAGAGCGUGUAGGCGGUCCGGUAAGUCAGCUGUGAAAGUCCAGGGCUCAACCCUGGGAUGCCGGUGGAUACUGUCGGGCUCGAGUCCGGAAGAGGAGUGUGGAAUUCCUGGUGUAGCGGUGAAAUGCGCAGAUAUCGUCAAGAACACCUAUAGCGAAGGCAGCUUACUAGGCUGUAACUGACGCUGAGGCACGAAAGUGUGGGGAUCAAACAGG